UGAACGCUGGCGGCCGGCCUAACACAUGCAAGUCGAGCGGAUGAAGGGAGCUUGCUCCUGGAUUCAGCGGCGGACGGGUGCGUAAUGCCUAGGAAUCUGCCUGGUAGUGGGGGAUAACGUCCGGAAACGGGCGCUAAUACCGCAUACGUCCUGAGGGAGAAAGUGGGGGAUCUUCGGACCUCACGCUAUCAGAUGAGCCUAGGUCGGAUUAGCUAGUUGGUGGGGUAAAGGCCUACCAAGGCGACGAUCCGUAACUGGUCUGAGAGGAUGAUCAGUCACACUGGAACUGAGACACGGUCCAGACUCCUACGGGAGGCAGCAGUGGGGAAUAUUGGACAAUGGGCGAAAGCCUGAUCCAACCAUGCCGCGUGUGUGAAGAAGGUCUUCGGAUUGUAAAGCACUUUAAGUUGGGAGGAAGGGCAGUAAGUUAAUACCUUGCUGUUUUGACGUUACCAACAGAAUAAGCACCGGCUAACUUCGUG
rnacentral:rRNA from 1 species